rnacentral:rRNA from 1 species
UACGGGGGGGGGCAAGCGUUGUUCGGAAUUACUGGGCGUAAAGGGCUCGUAGGCGGCCAACUAAGUCAGACGUGAAAUCCCUCGGCUUAACCGGGGAACUGCGUCUGAUACUGGAUGGCUUGAGAUUGGGAGAGGGAUGCGGAAUUCCAGGUGUAGCGGUGAAAUGCGUAGAUAUCUGGAGGAACACCGGUGGCGAAAGCGGCGCGCUGGAUCCCUACUGACGCUGAGAGACGAAAGCGUGGGGAGCAAACAGGG